rnacentral:rRNA from 1 species
GACGAACGCUGGCGGCGUGCUUAACACAUGCAAGUCGAACGAAGUGGCGAACGGGUGAGUAAUACGUGAGUAACCUGCCCUCCUUUUUGGGAUAAGCCUUGGAAACGGGGUCUAAUACCGAAUAAAGGUGGAUGGGCUCGCUGCCUAUCAGCUUGUUGGUGGGGUGAUGGCCUUCCAAGGCGGUUACGGGUAGCCGGCCUGCGAGGGUGACCGGCCACAUUGGGACUGUGAUACGGCCCAGACUCCUACGGGAGGCAGCAGUGGGGGAUAUUGCACAAUGGGCGAAAGCCUGAGGCAGCGACGCCGCGUGAGUGAAGAAGGUUUUCGGAUCGUAAAGCUCUGUUGUUAAGGAAUGAGGACUUAACCAGAAAGGGCCGGCUAACUACGUGCCAGCAGCCGCGGUAAUAC